UACGUAGGUGACAAGCGUUGUCCGGAUUUACUGGGCGUAAAGAGCGCGCAGGCGGUCGGUCAAGUCGGGUGUGAAAACCCCCGGCUCAACUGGGGAGGGUCAUUCGAUACUGAUCGACUCGAAGGCAGGAGAGGGUAGUGGAAUUCCCGGUGUAGUGGUGAAAUGCGUAGAUAUCGGGAGGAACACCAGUGGCGAAGGCGACUACCUGGCCUGUGCUUGACGCUGAGGCGCGAAAGCUAGGGGAGCAAACGGG
rnacentral:rRNA from 1 species